GCGUGGUUGGAGUAGUGGUUAACUCGUUGCCCUCCCAUAAACAGCGAAAGGCAGAAAGUAGGUCGAUAUCCUCACCGUUUACAGAAUCUUGCUAACCCGAACAGCACUGGUUCGAACCCGGUGCCGCGCA
rnacentral:tRNA from 1 species